rnacentral:tRNA from 1 species
GCACGCUUAGCUCAGUGGUAGAGCGGCUCGUUUACACCGAGUUGGCCGGGGGUUCGAAUCCCUCAGCGUGCA